rnacentral:rRNA from 1 species
UACGUAGGGUGCGAGCGUUAAUCGGAAUUACUGGGCGUAAAGCGUGCGCAGGCGGUUUUGCAAACCGGAUGUGAAAUCCCCGGGCUCAACCUGGGAAUGGCAUUUGGGACUGCAAGGCUCGAGUGCGGCAGAGGAGACUGGAAUUCCUGGUGUAGCAGUGAAAUGCGUAGAUAUCAGGAGGAAUACCGAUGGCGAAGGCAGGUCUCUGGGCUGACACUGACGCUCAUGCACGAAAGCUAGGGGAGCAAACAGG